AUUGAACGCUGGCGGCAUGCCUUACACAUGCAAGUCGAACGGCAGCACGGGAGCAAUCCUGGUGGCGAGUGGCGAACGGGUGAGUAAAGUAUCGGAACGUGCCCAGUCGUGGGGGAUAACGUAGCGAAAGUUACGCUAAUACCGCAUACGAUCUAUGGAUGAAAGCGGGGGAUCGCAAGACCUCGCGCGAUUGGAGCGGCCGAUAUCAGAUUAGGUAGCUGGUGGGGAAAAGGCUCACCAAGCCGACGAUCUGUAGCUGGUCUGAGAGGACGCCGCGCCACACUGGGUCUGAUACCGGGCACGGACUCCUGCGGGAGGCAGCGGUGGGAAAUUGGGGAAAGUGGGCGAAGGCCUGACCCGGCCAUGCCGGGGGGAGGAUAGGGGCUUUGGGUUUGUAAUCUGCUUUGGAAGGAAACAAAAAGUUUUGAGCUAAUAAGCUGCGCUCAGGACGGUACCGUAAGAAUAAGCACGGGCUAACAACGGGCCAGCGGCCGCGGUAA
rnacentral:rRNA from 1 species